rnacentral:tmRNA from 1 species
CCCCUUCCCACAACCCUCCGGCACGCCUAUAUUUCGUCCGUCGGCUGCAAAGCCGACUAUGGCGAUAAACGAGCGGCGUAAUACACCUAUCGGACCCGGGGGCAGUACCCGGCGCCUCCACCCCAGCGCGUCAGGCCGAUUUGGCACGGCGCGUUGCGGUGGGGGCGAACUAGGAUCGACGAGGGUCUAAAGACCGUUUUUUUGCCCGGCAUGAUACCGCCGUUAUCGGGUCACUUUAUAGUUGCCAACGACAACUAUGCUCCGGUUGCUGUGGCCGCGUGAGCGGUCUCUGACUCCGGUUUCAAGUCCUAACGGUUAGCCCCGUUAGGCGGGGUUCGGGGGUACCUGGCAACAGAAACCCUCACU